GCCGGAGCGCCCGGGCGCCUCCCUUUGCUCUUGGUAGCGUCGGUCCGCACUCCCUGUGACCCAGGACGUCAUGAUGCCUGUCUGUUUUCUCAAUGAUAACUUGGCAGAAGAAGAGAGAGGCUGCCAGGUUCUCCUCGGGUGGUUACGUGGCUCUAUUUUCAUCUGAGAUAUUCACUGCCCAGGUUCAGAAGGGAGAAAAUUUUCCUUGGCAACCAGGUUCAACUGGAAAAAAUAAUCAAGAUGUCACCUGAUGCUACAAGUCACCAGCUAUGUUCUCAGCUCUGCGGCCCUGCCAGAAGCUGAACCAGCAGAGGAAACUCGGCGUCAUGGAAAGAACACUAAACUUGGAGUCAGAACACAGAGUGGGAGUCUAAUUUCUACCUCUGACGGCUUUUGCGACUCUGGACAAGUCAUUCAACUUCUUACAACCUGGAUUUCCUCUUUAAUAGCUUUCCUACCAUCCUCAGGGAAGGAUCUUUCAAGCAUUGGUGGUUAGGUAAUCACCAAAGGGAUGCGUGACUGGACCCAACCACACGCUUCAAAAGUCACCUUGAUGCCAAGAUGCCAGCCCCCUCCCCUCCCCUCCCUGCAAGAGCCCAGCGUGGCCCAUCAGGCCUUCCUCUUUACUCCAUCAAUGUGCUUCCACGACUAUACUUACCAUAUUUUAAUUAUGGUUACUACAUCUGUCUUUGCUGCUCAGCUGUAACUGCCUUUAGUGUCACACAUGUUUUACUUCUCUUUUUAUUCUUAGUGCCUAGCACACAGUAGGUGCUCCGUAAAUGUUCAAUGAAUAAACUAUUAUUAAGGGAGA